GCACGAUUCGCUUAAACUUGGAGGAUAUUUUCUUCGCUUCUAUUCCUUGUCGUUUUUUAUUUAGUCCGUAAUAAAUUGUCGUUCUUCUUCUGCAAACAACUUCGUGUGAGGGACAAAAUUAGCAGCUAUCUAUACCUGAAUCAUUAGUAACAAUUUCUCUAACACACCCUUCACGAAAUGUUUUCGUACAGUAAACGAGGAACCGAUAUAUGGCACGCACCAACAUAGAAGACACACACAUACGCACCAUACACGCACGCUUACUUUCAGCUACUGUUCAUGUUCCCACCCUACCUCCUCUUUCUUCUUGGUGAGAUAGUAGUUCUUUUAAGAACGGGCUUGGAUCUCUUAGCUACUCACUUUUUUUUUAUUCCUUCUGGUUUACAUCAUUGUUGUUUAUUGCCUCUUGAAACUAAGAGGGAGUCAGUUUGUCAGUGGCCAAAAUAUGGGGGAAUUUUACAGUUUGGCGGCGCUAUGUCAUCAUGACAACAAUUUGGUACUACUUUACCAUCCGUAAAAAAGUCCGAUAUGGAGCUACUGCAGAUUCCACAUCUGCCAUCUUUUAUUAACCAACUUGUCAUCUUCUGUUGAAAGACCUGAACAGAUCUUUAGUUGUAAACACAUUUUUUUCUUCUAUCAAGACACCCGUCCCCCAUCCUUAGAGUAGCCACCUGGUUUUGCCAUUUUCAAAGGCCAAGUAUCAACUCAUCACUUUCUAUUGAAAGAACUGACCAGCUGUAAAGAUGUAAACGCAUUCUUUUCUUCUUUCUCUCUUCCUUCUUUCUUUCCUUCUCUUUUCCAUUGACACUCCUUUCAGAUACAUAAAUACACACACACACACUUUCUUUCACUUUCUCCCCAUUCCUCACCGUCUUUUGCUAUCCUACAUCUCUUCCCACCCCUACACACUCAAUAAUACUAUAAAAAGAGAGGAAUCAUCUCAAACACAUUCAAAUCUGAAGUGUCUACUAGAGUGGAUGCAAGCGCUGUUAUAUGAUUUAUAA
rnacentral:misc_RNA from 1 species